rnacentral:rRNA from 1 species
CGUAGGGGGCAAGCGUUAUCCGGAUUUACUGGGUGUAAAGGGAGCGUAGACGGCAAUGCAAGUCCGAUGUGAAAACCCAGGGCUCAACCGUGGGAGUGCAUUGGAAACUGAAUGGCUGGAGUGCAGGAGAGGUAAGCGGAAUUCCUGGUGUAGCGGUGAAAUGCGUAGAUAUCAGGAGGAACACCAGUGGCGAAGGCGGCUUACUGGACUGUAACUGACGUUGAGGCUCGAAAGCGUGGGGAGCAA